UGCCGGAUCGUCCAGUCGGCAGGACACCCGCCUCAGGGUCGGGGACGGAGGUUCGAUCCCUUCUCCGGCAGCCA
rnacentral:tRNA from 1 species